AUUGAACGCUGGCGGCAUGCCUUACACAUGCAAGUCGAACGGCAGCGGGGGAGAAGCUUGCUUUUCCUGCCGGCGAGUGGCGAACGGGUGAGUAAUACAUCGGAACGUGCCCUGUAGUGGGGGAUAACUAGUCGAAAGAUUAGCUAAUACCGCAUACGACCUGAGGGUGAAAGUGGGGGACCGCAAGGCCUCAUGCUAUAGGAGCGGCCGAUGUCUGAUUAGCUAGUUGGUGGGGUAAAGGCCUACCAAGGCGACGAUCAGUAGCUGGUCUGAGAGGACGAUCAGCCACACUGGGACUGGGACACGGCCCAGACUCCUACGGGAGGCAGCAGUGGGGAAUUUUGGACAAUGGGCGAAAGCCUGAUCCAGCAAUGCCGCGUGUGUGAAGAAGGCCUUCGGGUUGUAAAGCACUCUUGUCCGGAAAGAAAUGGCUCUGGUUAAUACCUGGGGUCGAUGACGGUACCGGAAGAAUAAGGACCGGCUAACUACGUGCCAGCAGCCGCCGUAA
rnacentral:rRNA from 1 species